rfam:Helianthus annuus linkage group 2, whole genome shotgun sequence.
GGUUGCGAUCAUACCAGCACUAAUGCACCGGAUCCAUCAGAACUCCGCAGUUAAGCGUGCUUGGGCGAGAGUAGUACUAGGAUGGGUGACCCCCUGGGAAGUCCUCGUGUUGCAACCC